rnacentral:rRNA from 1 species
UACGGAGGGUGCAAGCGUUGUCCGGAAUUACUGGGCGUAAAGCGCACGUAGGCGGCUUUGUAAGUUAGAGGUGAAAGCCCGGGGCUCAACCUCGGAACUGCCUUUAAGACUGCAUCGCUUGAAUCCAGGAGAGGUGAGUGGAAUUCCGAGUGUAGAGGUGAAAUUCGUAGAUAUUCGGAAGAACACCAGUGGCGAAGGCGGCUCACUGGCCUGGUAUUGACGCUCAGGUGCGAAAGCGUGGGGAGCAAACAGG